rnacentral:tRNA from 1 species
GCCGAUGUGGUGGAAUUGGCAGACGCAACGGACUCAAAAUCCGUCGGUAGCAAUACCGUGCGGGUUCGAUUCCCGCCAUCGGCACCA